GAUGAACGCUGGCGGCGUGCCUAAUACAUGCAAGUCGAGCGAACAGAUAAGGAGCUUGCUCCUUUGACGUUAGCGGCGGACGGGUGAGUAACACGUGGGUAACCUACCUAUAAGACUGGAAUAACUCCGGGAAACCGGGGCUAAUGCCGGAUAACAUUUAGAACCGCAUGGUUCUAAAGUGAAAGAUGGUUUUGCUAUCACUUAUAGAUGGACCCGCGCCGUAUUAGCUAGUUGGUAAGGUAACGGCUUACCAAGGCAACGAUACGUAGCCGACCUGAGAGGGUGAUCGGCCACACUGGAACUGAGACACGGUCCAGACUCCUACGGGAGGCAGCAGUAGGGAAUCUUCCGCAAUGGGCGAAAGCCUGACGGAGCAACGCCGCGUGAGUGAUGAAGGUCUUCGGAUCGUAAAACUCUGUUAUUAGGGAAGAACAAAUGUGUAAGUAACUGUGCACGUCUUGACGGUACCUAAUCAGAAAGCCACGGCUAACUACGG
rnacentral:rRNA from 1 species